rnacentral:rRNA from 1 species
UACGUAGGGGGCAAGCGUUGUCCGGAUUUAUUGGGCGUAAAGAGCGUGUAGGCGGCCAAGCAGGUCCGCUGUGAAAACUCGAGGCUCAACCUCGAGACGUCGGUGGAAACCGUUUGGCUAGAGUCCGGAAGAGGAGAGUGGAAUUCCUGGUGUAGCGGUGAAAUGCGCAGAUAUCAGGAAGAACACCCGUGGCUAAGGCGGCUCUCUAGUACGGUACUGACGCUGAGGAGCGAAAGCGUGGGGAGCGAACAGG